rnacentral:RNase_P_RNA from 1 species
GUCGCUUAUAUAUAAUAAUGUAUAAGAGGAAAGUCCGGGCAGCAUAGGGUGCUCCACUUCCGAAAAUAGAAGGUGCUGGCGACAGCAGGUUAGAGCAGAAGAAAACAACCGCCAACGUUUCUGUAGUGUAUUUACGAAGCACGGCAAGGGUGAGAAGGCGGUGUAAGAGACCACCAGGCUUCGGGUGACCGACUGCGCUGUGCUUACUGGAGGCUGCAAGUUCAUGUAAACCAUCGUCUGAGGGUUGCCCGCCCGACUAACUCCGAUGGAGGGUAGAACGCUUAAGAUGCAGGGUGACUUGCAUAUUAGAUAAAUGACAGGCAUCUGCGGCACUUGUGCCGUACGAAACAGAACCCGGCUUAUAGGAAC